rnacentral:tRNA from 1 species
UAGGUCAGUAGCUCAAUUGGUAGAGCAUCGGUCUCCAAAACCGAGGGUUACGGGUUCAAUUCCUGUCUGACCUGCCAU